AUGCCGACCUCUGGAUGUCAGUCCAUGUUUCCUGGGGUCAUGUCAUGACUAGUGGGUAUGGCGGGGGAGCCCUCUCCGUCAGCACCUGGAAGCAAAACUUCGGCUUGCUUGGAGACUCCAGCUAUACAUUAGAACCGUGGCUCCUGACACCAGUGCCCGGACGACCAGCUCGUGGCACCCCUGAUAACUACUACAACAAGGCCCACAACGCCAUGCGCAAUGUUGUGGAGUGGUGCAUCGCUGUAAGCUUGUGCAGAGCUGCUCAAGUAUCAUUGCUGCUUGUGCAGCUCUGCACGACAUUGCGUUGGCGGCACAUGAGCCUGUUCUCAAAGGGGACGAUGACGACACCGACGAUGCUGAGCUGCUGCCAGCAGCAGCUGAGCUACCACCACCACAACGGGAGCCAGCAGCAGCGCAACCGUGUAGUGAACCUGUUUCGAGAACCACAGGGCCUGCAUGCUUGAGCACCUGCGCAGAGUACGCCGCCGCCUGCAACGACCUCGGCAGCAUUGUGUGGUGCCUUCCGCUGCAAUGAGGGCCCGGGCGAGGGUACCAACGCCUUGCAAUUCGUGGACCACGUCACCGAGAAAUUGAACCUGUC